UACAGAGGGUGCAAGCGUUGUUCGGAAUUAUUGGGCGUAAAGGGCGCGUAGGCGGUGCGGUAAGUCGGAUGUGAAAUCUCCACGCUCAACGUGGAGGGGCCAUUCGAAAACUGCCGUGACUCGAGUCCGGUAGGGGAGUGUGGAAUUCCCGGUGUAGCGGUGAAAUGCGCAGAUAUCGGGAGGAACACCGGUGGCGAAGGCGGUUCUCUGGGCCUGUACUGACGCUGAGGCGCGACAGCGUGGGGAGCAAACAGG
rnacentral:rRNA from 1 species